GUAGGGAAUCUUCCACAAUGGGCGCAAGCCUGAUGGAGCAACACCGCGUGAGUGAAGAAGGGUUUCGGCUCGUAAAGCUCUGUUGUUAAAGAAGAACACGUAUGAGAGUAACUGUUCAUACGUUGACGGUAUUUAACCAGAAAGUCACGGCUAACUACGUGCCA
rnacentral:rRNA from 1 species